GGGUUAGUAGGCUGGUCAUGCCUCUGGUAUGUACUGGUCUCACUGAUUCCUCCUUCCUGAUGAACCGUAAUGCCAUUAAUUUGGUGUUGCGGGGAAUUUGGACUGUUACUUUGAAAAAAUUAGAGUGUUUAAAGCAAGCUAACGCUUGAAUACAUUAGCAUGGAAUAAUGAAAUAGGACGUUCGAUCCUAUUUUGUUGGUUUCUAGGAUUGACGUA
rnacentral:rRNA from 1 species